GUAUCUCUCUUGGCCUAAAAUUGUUUUUUUAUUUUGAAACUAAAAGUUUCUCGAAACUCAGUUUCUUCAUUUAAAAUGUCAAUAGAAGAUUACAAUUUAAAACAUCUAUUCAUGCUGACAGAUUUGGAUAGCUAUGUGAACAGUGGAAUAUAAAUAUUGCCCGUGUAAAACGUUAAGCAUUGCCCCAUAAACAAAUUUUAACAAACAAAAGAGUGAGAUAGAGGUAUUUUGUUUUUGCCGUAUUUUCUGUUUCGUUAUCCUAAACAGAUUUAGUUGACAGCUUAAAGUUUAAAACAAAUUUCCUUAGAAAUCAAAUAAAGUCCAAUUCUUCAUAAAAGUUAGAGAAAACUACAAAAUAUUUUCUAAAUUGCACAAAUUAACUUUCAAAUAAAAAUAUCCCCGAAAUGUCUGCUGAAAAAAGUAAACCAAAAGGAGAUUUGGGGCUCUUAGAGGAAGAUGAUGAAUUCGAAGAGUUUCCAGCGGAAGAUUUUAAUAUUGCCGAAGAAGAUGAUAGUGCAGUUAAUGUAUGGGAAGACAAUUGGGAUGAUGAUAAUAUAGAAGAUGAUUUUAAUCAGCAGCUAAAAGCCCAUUUAGAAAAACAAAUGGAAUCUUAAAAUGUCGAUAUCGUAUAUUUAAAUAAAUUUUGUUAAUAAAGUAUUUAUAAUUUAUAA